UUCUAAGUACAUUCAGUAUAUAAAUCAUCAUUGGAAAUAACCCACCCUUUAACACAUUCUAGCAAGUUUUUAUGAUAAUAGAAUAAUAUGUUUCAAUAUUUAUUUUAUAUAGUUCACUCUUUUUAUGCAAAGAACCACUGACCUAUAUGAUGUUGACAAUUUGACGAAAAGUGGUUUCUCUCUGGAGUCUUUACAUGUACCAUUAACCAUCCAUAGAGGCAACAACAAAAAGACUGCUAAUAAAUGACACAAGUGUAAUUCAAUGUUGUUAGGGUGAUUCAUUUAUUGACCAGAGACAUGAAAUAAAUAAUAACAGGUUUGUACAUUCCUGAUGAACACACACACACAACCACCAAUUUUAAAACAAACAAACAAGACCUCAUUAGUGGAGUGAUCUUCAAAUAACAUAACGUAUGGUAUGAUGCUCUAAAAUAAUCAGGUUUACUUGAAGCCAAAUCAAUUUGUAAAAUAGUUCAUUCUUAGAAUCUUUUAACAAGAAUUCAUACACAUGAUAAAAAAAAAAUACAGAAUAUUUUUAAACUGUAUGUAUGAAAAAGUCAUUCAGCAAACAAAUAAAAAAUAAAA